GAUGAACGCUGGCGGAGUGCCUAAUACAUGCAAGUCGAGCGGCAGCACGAGUAGUUUACUACUUGGUGGCGAGCGGCGGACGGCUGAGUAACGCGUGGGAACGUGCCCCAAAGUGAGGAAUAACUGCCCGAAAGGGUAGCUAAUACCGCAUAUGAUCUUCGGAUUAAAGUAUUUAUUACGCUUUGGGAGCGGCCCGCGUC
rnacentral:rRNA from 1 species